UCCACGCGGACAAAGACGCGGCAUAGGCUAAUAUUACCUUAAAACUUAAAGCUAGCCUUAUUACUAUACAAAUCAUGCCCGCGUGGAAUGGUGCCAAGAAUACUGGCUGCAUUUCCGCGCCGGAAAGCCAGGCUGAUCCGCUGCGC